rnacentral:rRNA from 1 species
CUGGUUGAUCCUGCCAGUAGUCAUAUGCUUGUCUCAAAGAUUAAGCCAUGCAUGUCCAAGUACAAGCCUCACUAAGGUGAAACCGCGAAUGGCUCAUUAAAUCACACCUAAUCUACUGGAUAGUUAACAGGUACUUGGAUACCUGCGGUAAUUCUGGAGCUAAUACAUGCGAAAAGCCUCGAACUUACGUGAGAGGUGCUUUUAUUAGAUCAAAACCAAUCGGCUUCGGCUGUACUCUUGGCGACUCUGAAUAACUUUGGGCUGAUCGUAUAGCCUUGCGCUGACGACAUAUCCUUCGAAGGUGUGCCCUAUCAACUGUCGACUGUGGCAUAGACGCCCACAGUGGUUUUGACGGGUAACGGGGAAUCAGGGUUCGAUUCCGGAGAGGGAGCCUUAAAAACGGCUACCACAUCUAAGGAAGGCAGCAGGCACGCAAAUUACCCAAUGAUCGAAGAUCGAGGUAGUGACGAAAAAUAACGAUCCAGGACUCAUCCGAGGCCCUGGAAUCGGAAUGAGUACACUUUAAAACCGUCCCCGAGGAUCUAUUGGAGGGCAAGUCUGG